CCCUCCGUAUAGUGGAGCAUCGUUUCGCCCGUACUACGUGGUGGACUUGCGCAGGUGGCGAUCUUUCGGACAGCUUUUUUCUGUGUUCGGUGAUUUGUGAGACACCCUGUAUGUAAGUAAGUAUAGUAUUUUAAGAUUAGGUUAUGUUAAGCCGCCAUAUCGCACGAGGAAUAUACUAUAUCUGGCGGCGGCCAUUUAUGAUGCACAUUGCCUGGCCAAUACCCGUGAUGAGGUCAACGGGAUUAUUACAGAAUGAGGUUCAACAGGCCGCGGCCGGACCCCUCCUGAAAAACUGGAGGUAUCUCCCGGAUUUGAAGCCGGAUCUUCCAGGGUGGUAUAGUUUUUAAGUGAUAUAUUAAAUAAGUAUUAAGUAUAUCAAAUGAAAUUUACAGAAUCGAUGUAAUAUCAGUUAAAUAUUCUUUUGUAUAUUAAUUUAUAAUUUAUUAAAAUUUAAUAAAUUAUUAAGUAUCCAGUAGCAAAUGAA
rnacentral:lncRNA from 1 species